rnacentral:rRNA from 1 species
ACGCUGGCGGCGUGCCUAAUACAUGCAAGUAGAACGCUGAAGGAGGAGCUUGCUCUCUCUGGAUGAGUUGCGAACGGGUGAGUAACGCGUAGGUAACCUGCCUGGUAGCGGGGGAUAACUAUUGGAAACGAUAGCUAAUACCGCAUAACAGUAGAUGUUGCAUGACAUUUGCUUAAAAGGUGCAAUUGCAUCACUACCAGAUGGACCUGCGUUGUAUUAGCUAGUUGGUGGGGUAACGGCUCACCAAGGCGACGAUACAUAGCCGACCUGAGAGGGUGAUCGGCCACACUGGGACUGAAACACGGCCCAGACUCCUACGGGAGGCAGCAGUAGGGAAUCUUCGGCAAUGGACGGAAGUCUGACCGAGCAACGCCGCGUGAGUGAAGAAGGUUUUCGGAUCGUAAAGCUCUGUUGUAAGAGAAGAACGAGUGUGAGAGUGGAAAGUUCACACUGUGACGGUAUCUUACCAGAAAGGGACGGCUAACUACGUGCCAGCAGCCGCGGUAAUACGUAGGUCCCGAGCGUUGUCCGGAUUUAUUGGGCGUAAAGCGAGCGCAGGCGGUUAGAUAAGUCUGAAGUUAAAGGCUGUGGCUUAACCAUAGUACGCUUUGGAAACUGUUUAACUUGAGUGCAAGAGGGGAGAGUGGAAUUCCAUGUGUAGCGGUGAAAUGCGUAGAUAUAUGGAGGAACACCGGUGGCGAAAGCGGCUCUCUGGCUUGUAACUGACGCUGAGGCUCGAAAGCGUGGGGAGCAAACAGGAUUAGAUACCCUGGUAGUCCACGCCGUAAACGAUGAGUGCUAGGUGUUAGACCCUUUCCGGGGUUUAGUGCCGUAGCUAACGCAUUAAGCACUCCGCCUGGGGAGUACGACCGCAAGGUUGAAACUCAAAGGAAUUGACGGGGGCCCGCACAAGCGG